rnacentral:rRNA from 1 species
GACGAACGCUGGCGGCGUGCCUAAUACAUGCAAGUAGAACGCUGAAGAGAGGAGCUUGCUCUUCUUGGAUGAGUUGCGAACGGGUGAGUAACGCGUAGGUAACCUGCCUUGUAGCGGGGGAUAACUAUUGGAAACGAUAGCUAAUACCGCAUAACAAUGGAUGACACAUGUCAUUUAUUUGAAAGGGGCAAUUGCUCCACUACAAGAUGGACCUGCGUUGUAUUAGCUAGUAGGUGAGGUAAUGGCUCACCUAGGCGACGAUACAUAGCCGACCUGAGAGGGUGAUCGGCCACACUGGGACUGAGACACGGCCCAGACUCCUACGGGAGGCAGCAGUAGGGAAUCUUCGGCAAUGGGGGCAACCCUGACCGAGCAACGCCGCGUGAGUGAAGAAGGUUUUCGGAUCGUAAAGCUCUGUUGUAAGUCAAGAACGGGUGUGAGAGUGGAAAGUUCACACUGUGACGGUAGCUUACCAGAAAGGGACGGCUAACUACGUGCCAGCAGCCGCGGUAAUACGUAGGUCCCGAGCGUUGUCCGGAUUUAUUGGGCGUAAAGCGAGCGCAGGCGGUUUGAUAAGUCUGAAGUUAAAGGCUGUGGCUCAACCAUAGUUCGCUUUGGAAACUGUCAAACUUGAGUGCAGAAGGGGAGAGUGGAAUUCCAUGUGUAGCGGUGAAAUGCGUAGAUAUAUGGAGGAACACCGAUGGCGAAAGCGGCUCUCUGGUCUGUAACUGACGCUGAGGCUCGAAAGCGUGGGGAGCGAACAGGAUUAGAUACCCUGGUAGUCCACGCCGUAAACGAUGAGUGCUAGGUGUUGGAUCCUUUCCGGGAUUCAGUGCCGCAGCUAACGCAUUAAGCACUCCGCCUGGGGAGUACGACCGCAAGGUUGAAACUCAAAGGAAUUGACGGGGGCCCGCACAAGCGGUGGAGCAUGUGGUUUAAUUCGAAGCAACGCGAAGAACCUUACCAGGUCUUGACAUCCCGAUGCUAUUUCCAGAGAUAGAAAGUUACUUCGGUACAUCGGUGACAGGUGGUGCAUGGUUGUCGUCAGCUCGUGUCGUGAGAUGUUGGGUUAAGUCCCGCAACGAGCGCAACCCCUAUUGUUAGUUGCCAUCAUUCAGUUGGGCACUCUAGCGAGACUGCCGGUAAUAAACCGGAGGAAGGUGGGGAUGACGUCAAAUCAUCAUGCCCCUUAUGACCUGGGCUACACACGUGCUACAAUGGUUGGUACAACGAGUUGCGAGUCGGUGACGGCGAGCUAAUCUCUUAAAGCCAAUCUCAGUUCGGAUUGUAGGCUGCAACUCGCCUACAUGAAGUCGGAAUCGCUAGUAAUCGCGGAUCAGCACGCCGCGGUGAAUACGUUCCCGGGCCU